UAAAAACGGGUCUAACAGCGGGACCUGUUUUGCAUAGCUUUUGUACCCGUCUAACACGAGUGGUGUCGUAUUUUUUCGCGCUAAAACCGCCUCAAAGUUAUCUUUGAAGCCUAAGGUAUUUGGUUCAAACACCUGGCAUUUGGUUCAAACAUAUGGUAUUGGGGGUGUCUAAACAUUAGGUACCUUUUGAUAUUCUAAAAUCUCCGGGGGGCUAGCAUCUAGAUGCUGGGGUGGGGAGGUCUCGACAUCGCUGGGCUGAAUGAGCGAGAGAGCCUUGAGCGCAGAUGCAUGGGCAUUUUUGAACACACACCGACCCUUUUUUCUCUGUUUUUUGAAACACACACACAUCCACUACAGCACACGCACGCACACACACGCGCGCAUUCCGCAAGUUUUUUUCUUUUCUCAUACUGCGCUAAGAGUGACCAAACUAAAGAGUUCCUGACAUAAUCCAGAGGUCUGGUUAGCCCUGACCAUUAUCCGAUCGCUAAAACGCUUGCACACUCCCUAAAAGCUCCAUUUGUUUAAGCCCACCUAGAAAUGUUUUUCCCUGAGGGACAGACUGCGCUAAGAGGGAACAAACUAACGAGUUCAUGACAUGAUCCAGGGAUCUGAUGCAACCACCCCCCAUUGUCAGUGUCCAGUUGGUCAUCAAAAUGCCGGGAUCUCUUGCAAGGUUCAUCAACACUUGGUAAGUUUUCACUCCAGGGGUAGAUCCUACGUCGGGCCUUUUGGUCCUGGCUAUGUCUCAAGGACAGCCGAGGCCUGCGCCUUAACUGUUCGCGAUUUUUGAAGAGAAUGUCCAGCUUAUUCAUAAGUGUUAUGAAAAUUGGAUAAUCCACCCAUUUAAAACUAAACACAGGAAUAAAAAAGUUGACAUCUUUGCAUGCUCUGGAUGCUACUGGAGAAUUGACAGACUUUGUAGCAUUACACGCAUCAUAAACUUCACAGGCUAAAAUUGUCACUUUGUUGUCAGGGCUAUAGUCCAUUGAAGCAAUUCUUAGAGCCUUGAGAUCCCUGCCCCCGAGGACCUGUUCUUCCAAUGCAUAGCCAGGCACAGGUGUACCACUCAGGACC